AUAUCUGGCACUGGGGACAUAUGUGGCACUGGGAGCACAGCCCUAGCAACAAGGACUACCUCCUAGCAACGAGCAUGACACCCAGUGCAUGAAACACCUGACAACGAGCAUGACACCCAGUGCAUGAAACACCUGGCAACGAGCAUGACACCCAGUGCAUGAAACCCCUGACAACGAGAAGCGCCUACCAAUUCAAUUGAAAAGGCAGAUCAGCAGAAGACGUACUGUAUGUUGGUGUAAAGACAACCCAUGAAGACUGGGACAUAGAAGAUGGGAACUUUUUCCAAUGUAUACCAACCACAGAAUGGUGUGACAGCGGCCUUUCCAAAGACCAUGAAGUGGAUGUGUACCUUGGUUGAAACUGUGACUAGAAAAUAAGGAUUGCGGCUCUGCAGAUUUUGAGGUUUAUAGAGUACCACUGAUAACUAAUUACAGUAUAUUAUAUUAAAUUAAAAUAAGUCUUGGCCUGCUUUAAAUGAUUUAGGGUGGACUCCAAUUAGCCUCGGCCAUUGAUACUCCGCGCAUUAAACCAUAGAGGGGGACCUUUCUGUGCAGCUUCAGGAGCUCCAUGUAAAGGUCCACAAGUAAUUGCAACGUCUGGGGGUUGAAUGCGUGGGAAAGACCAUACAUUCUGCUUUUAUCGCAGAGUGUAUGGGUUAGCACGUGUUAACCCAGUGUUUACCACGCAGGAAAAGACUGUUUUAAUGAUUAGCUGAAGGCAUGAAACCCAGAGUUAUUCCACAAGCGGCAAACUGUAUGGCUAAUUGGAUUCCCCCCUUAAUAUCCUUUUAUUUUGUUUACAUUUAUUUUUCACAUUUUCAAACACUAGAAAUUCCUGCAUAUAAAUGUAACAGAAAAAAACUUUUCAUUUGUAGUCUAAACAGUUUGUGAAAAUCAGAAGAUGUAUAGAAAUAUGCAAUAUGAUUAUUUUAGAGGAAUGGUGCCAAGACUCAUGAGGCUGUGUCUCAUUGUUGCUCAAUGUCUGACCUUCUAUAAACUAGAAUUAUGAAAUAGAUAAACCAUUACUUGAAUAUUUUAAUUAAUGUUCAGAGAGUUAUUCA